rnacentral:rRNA from 1 species
UACGUAGGGGGCAAGCGUUGUCCGGAAUUAUUGGGCGUAAAGAGCUCGUAGGCGGUUCGUCGCGUCGGCUGUGAAAACCCGGAGCUCAACUCCGGGCCUGCAGUCGAUACGGGCGGACUCGAGUUCGGCAGGGGAGACUGGAAUUCCUGGUGUAGCGGUGAAAUGCGCAGAUAUCAGGAGGAACACCAGUGGCGAAGGCGGGUCUCUGGGCCGAUACUGACGCUGAGGAGCGAAAGCGUGGGGAGCGAACAGG